CAGUCGCCACGGUAAUACGUAGGUGGCAAGCGUUGUCCGGAAUUAUUGGGCGUAAAGGGCCCGCAGGCGGUUUCUUAAGUCUGAUGUGAAAGCCCCCGGCUCAACCGGGGAGGGUCAUUGGAAACUGGGAAACUUGAGUGCAGAAGAGGAGAGUGGAAUUCCACGUGUAGCGGUGAAAUGCGUAGAGAUGUGGAGGAACACCAGUGGCGAAGGCGACUCUCUGGUCUGUAACUGACGCUGAGGAGCGAAAGCGUGGGGAGCGAACAGGAUUAGAUACCCCCGUAGUCCCUGUCUCUUAUAC
rnacentral:rRNA from 1 species